CUGAGAUCUAAAUGAUGAGGCAGAAGGAAAAGCAAAUUUAAGAGUUUGGUGGGAUUCGGGAAUUGAAGGAAGGCCCCUGAGUCUGGGCCUGGGGAGUGAGGGGUGUGGCAGAAGAUUAGAUGAGAUCAGAGAGGGAGGGCUCUCCGGACACUUCAUGGGAAUUUGAGUGGAGAGAUGAAGGAGUUUGGCACGAGCUUUUACGAUAA
rnacentral:lncRNA from 1 species